AUGCACAUUGGGAUUCAGAUUGCCAUUCAUAUUGCAACCCAUGUUGCAGUUUCUAUUGCAUCCCACACUGCAGUUUAUAUCGCAGCCCAUAUUGCAAUUCAUAUUGCAGCUCUCACUGGGGCUCACAUUGCAGCCUUUAUUACAAUUUAUAUUGCAGCUCCGCUUGCAACUCAGACCACAGUUUAUAUUACAGCUCAUAUUGCAACUCAAAUUGCAGCUUAUAUUGCAUCUCAUAUUGGAGCUCGCGUUGGGAUUCAUAUUGCAACCCAUAUAGCAAUUUAUACUGCAGCUUACACUGCAAUUUAUACUGCAACUCGUAUUGCAAUUCAUAUUGCAAGCCAUGCUGCAGUUUGUAUCGCAGCUCAGAUUGCAGCUCAUAUUGGAGUGCACAGUGGGAUUCAUAUUGCCACUUAUAUUGCAACCCCUAGAGUGAUUUCUAUUGCAGCUUACACUGCAAUUUAUUCUGCCUCUCAUAUUGCAGCUCAUAUUGCAAUUCAUAUUGCAGCUCACCUUGCAGCUCAGAGCACAGUUUAUGCUGGAGCUCACAUUGGGAUCCAUAUUGCAGCCCAUAAUGCAAUUUAUCUUGCAGCUCUCAUUGGAGCUCACAUUGCAGCCCAUAUUGCACUUUAUAUUGCAGCUCACCUUGCAACUCAGGCCACAGUUUCUCUUGCAGCUCAGGAUGCAAUUUAUACUGCAACCCGUGGUGCAAUUUAUGUCACCAUCAAUCUUGCAGCUUGUACUGCAGUUCCUGUUGCCACUCCCAUUGCAACCCAGCUCACAGUUCCUACUGCAGCUCAACACUGCAGUUUGCACCACGGCUUCAUGCUGCACUGCUGCUCUUUGUGUUGCAGCCAAUCCUGCAGUUUGCAUCGCAGCUCCCCAUGCACGUCACACAGCAAUGCACACUGCAAUACUGCCAGCCACGGCACGACUUGCACUGUGAUCCAUGCAGCUUACAUUGCAAUUCAUACUGCAGUCCCAGCCGCGUCCCACGCCGCCCCCCCGUAA
rnacentral:lncRNA from 1 species